rnacentral:rRNA from 1 species
CCUGAUGCAGCCAUGCCGCGUGUAUGAAGAAGGCCUUCGGGUUGUAAAGUACUUUCAGCGGGGAGGAAGGGAGUAAAGUUAAUACCUUUGCUCAUUGACGUUACCCGCAGAAGAAGCACCGGCUAACUCCGUGCCAGCAGCCGCGGUAAUACGGAGGGUGCAAGCGUUAAUCGGAAUUACUGGGCGUAAAGCGCACGCAGGCGGUUUGUUAAGUCAGAUGUGAAAUCCCCGGGCUCAACCUGGGAACUGCAUCUGAUACUGGCAAGCUUGAGUCUCGUAGAGGGGGGUAGAAUUCCAGGUGUAGCGGUGAAAUGCGUAGAGAUCUGGAGGAAUACCGGUGGCGAAGGCGGCCCCCUGGACGAAGACUGACGCUCAGGUGCGAAAGCGUGGGGAGCAAACAGGAUUA